rnacentral:ncRNA from 1 species
UUCGAAGUUUCCCUCAAGGAUAAGCUUGCACUCGGUUGAGGCCAGUCUCAUCCGGUAGAGCGAAUAACUACAGGCAUUGAGGUCAAAACGACCUCAAUCAAUUCUUAAACUCCAAAUAGAUGAGAUCCCCAGAUUUCUUAAAAGUGAAACCAUGAGAAUAGAAUGACGAGUGCCAAUUGGGCCAAUUUUGGUAAGCAGAAUUGGCGCUAUGGGAUGAAACAAACGAAGAGUUAAGACGCCUUAUUUGAUGCUCAUGCGAAUCAGUAUAUAUCAGGAUAUAACUGGAAACUGGAAAUAUAGCGAAAUAAUCUAUUAAGUAAAAUUGUUCCACCAGAUAUGUUGAA